CCUGCAAUCAAGAUUAAAGGCGAAGUCUGGAUCCCGUAGGAGUCCGGACAAGGCCUAUCGGCAGUUGCUGUUGUCAGCGGAGCCCGGCUCCCGUAGGAGUCCGGGCGGGGUUGUCCUGUAGCUGAUGUCGGCGAUGGAGCCCGGCUCCCGUAGGAGUCCGGGUGAAGUUUUCCUGGGCAUCGUGGAUGGAACCCGGCUCCUGUAGGAGCCCGGGCGAAGUUUUCUUUGGUGUCGUGGACGGAACCCGGCUUCCGUAGGAGUC
rnacentral:lncRNA from 1 species